CUUGCAAACUGGAGGUGGCGACCGGCGCACGGGUGAGUAACACGUAUCCAACCUGCCGAUAACUCGGGGAUAGCCUUUCGAAAGAAAGAUUAAUACCCGAUGGCAUAAUAGAACCGCAUGGUUUGAUUAUUAAAGAAUUUCGGUUAUCGAUGGGGAUGCGUUCCAUUAGGCAGUUGGUGGGGUAACGGCCCACCAAACCUUCGAUGGAUAGGGGUUCUGAGAGGAAGGUCCCCCACAUUGGAACUGAGACACGGUCCAAACUCCUACGGGAGGCAGCAUG
rnacentral:rRNA from 1 species